GUGGGCUGUUCUAUUAUAUUAGGAGUAACCAUAGUCAUUCCAAUAUGCAUGAUAGUCAUGGGCUCAAUUUACUUGCACGAGUGUCCUCAAGGAGAAUACAUUCCAGUAUAUUUACUUGUUGGAGGAAUAUUUGGUAUUCUAAAGCAGCUGCUUCAUCUAUCAGCCAGGGUAAGACAAACUGAAGAAGCACGACAAGGAGAAAACUUGAGGCAGUCACCUACGCAAAACCUAUUGAACUGUUUCAUGUUGGGCUGGUUCAUUAUUGGCUCAGUUUGGGUGUACAAAGAAUAUGAACCAAAUUAUGACCCAACCUCGAGUCAGUAUUGCAACAAGAAUUUGUACGGUUUUGCCUUCUGGUUAAUCACUUCCGUCUAUAUUAUAUUGGGAUUCAUCACGCUGUUCUUGUGUUCUAUCAGUUUUGCCACUGUUGUAUUUCACACAGAUCGACGAAAUGAUCGUGAGCGCAGAAGUCGAAUAUGGUAAGAAAAGUGUUCUUAUUCGGUCUCUUUGUAUUUUUUGUCAAUGUUCACUGAAGUCUUCGAGUAUUACCUGAUCUGCUUAAUGAAGUACACGGGAAAAAAUAUUAAGAAUAAUGUGGAUAUUUUCAUUAUUUUAAGCUAUUUGUCGAGGUUUUUGUAUAAUUGAUACCGACGAGGUACACAGCUGAUCUUAGUUCGGACAUUUAUUUGAUUGAUUACUACGAUGAAAUCAGAUGAUUUCCCCAAUAAAGAUAAAAAUAACAAAGCGAUAAACGGCUAAUUUUCAGUCAUUGCAUUUAUAGAUUUUUUUGGACUGGAAGCUGAAGCAGACUCUCCAGUAUCUUGAACUAGGUGAAAGCAAUCAAUUGUGUUGUCUAAACUUAUUUGGACUGCGCUACCGAAAAGUGUGUUCAUUUAAAUUCUAAUUAGAUCCACGACGACUAUUUUUUAAUUUUUUCAUUGUAUCGAAAAAGCUAUUGUGCCAAAAUAUUAUUAUCAAGCCAGAAAUUGGCCAGUUAUCUACAGAAAAUUGUUUUUGCAAGCACAAUGCGUCGUUGGUCACACAUUUAUGUUUUAACCAUCUGUGAUAAGAUACAUUAAUUUAGGAUACAUUGUCGCUAGGACUAAGAGGCUUAGAAUAAACCUUCCAUAGAUGUUUUUUAUAGUUCCUUCCAUAUAGCUGUUGUUGGAUAAAUUUUCGAAUGCUAUAGAACUGUAAAUAUUGCUUUUUGCAAAAAUUGCUUUUUGUUAGUUAAUACUAAGACAACUGAGCUUCUGUUGAGGUUUCUGUGUGGAAAAUGUUGAAGUAGUUGUUAUAGGUGCUUUUAACGUAAAUGACCUGACUUCUUCUAUAGCAUUCAUGUAGAUGGUAGUUUAAAAGUAACAAAAACAAGUAAUAAACAUAUUUUUAAAUAGUCGUUUUUUACAUGCAUUUAUUUCGAUAUAAACGUUGAUUUUUAGUUUUUUAACUGCCCUCUUAAAAUACCAUGUGUACAUGAUUUGGUGUAUUUUGUUGUGUAACUUGUAAUUUUUUUAAUUAAUUUUAUUAGCUAUUGCUAACAGUUUCUAAUAUUGUAAAAGAUAGUUGCUGCAUACGUGAGCUAUUUUGACCAACGCACUUGGAUUCUCGAAAUUUAUAAGCUAAAGAUCUUUUGUAUGUUACAAGUUUUUCUACUAAAGGCGCCGAAAGUGUGAGGCUGGCAUUAAGCUGUCCUGAAAUGGGAAGCAACAUUUUUUGUUGUAAUUGUGGUUGUGGAAAUUGUAGAUCUCUCAACUACUUCGCAAAUACUACAAAUUUCAAUACAGCUUGCCUUUAAGAAAAAUAUACGAAAUUGCUGCUUUACUUGCUUAACGUAUGUAUUAGCAAAUGUUCACAUCUCUAAUAGCUAAUCUCCAUUUUCUGCUUUCCGUUUUCCUACCAAACUGGGCAGAAUGCGAAAAUGUGAAGUAAUAGUAAAUCUAAAGUCUUUGGCGUCUGUUAUUGUUCUUAGUUAAGUUCGCAAUAUAUACAAUUUUGUUAUCUA
rnacentral:lncRNA from 1 species